AUCGUCACGCCUCCUGGCAUGUUCAAACGGAAAGACGGCGUGUCACAUGACCAUAGUGAUUCAGUCGCCGCUUCGAAAUCCACGCAGUUCUCAGUCCCGCAUUCUUUCGUUAAUAUUUGUGGAAUUUUAUGGGAAUAAUCGCAUUACUUUCACGAAUAAAUACACUCAGCAGUUUUGUUCAACAUCGAGGGACACGAAGCAGUUGAAGGUUUCAAGUGUUAGCACGUUGUUCGAGGAAAAUCUUGGAAAGAUGUCGAGGUUACCGUUGGUUGCUGGAACGCCGAAUAAACGCGGGUUACCAAGAGUUACCAGCGCACAUUUUCAAAUGUUUUACUUUCACUGGAAAUAAUAGUCGGAGAUUGAUGGUGUGCGGACUAGAAAUGGCGCGAAAUUGGCGGAAAGUGUUCCACUUCAAAAUGGCUGUCAUCUUCGUGCGUAAUAUUCUAGAAGUUUAUCGACGGACUAAGGACAAAGGUAUGGCAUUGCAGAGCGACUUUCAAAAAACACGUUCUUACAUUUCAAAUUAUUAUUUCAAGCAGGAGAUUUGUAAAUACCUUGUGUAGCAAUAACAAGGUUAAAUGAGUACUCUCAGGGUGGCAGUCUGGCAAGUAUAGUUUUUUUUAUUUCAUUACCAGGAGAUUUGUAAAUACCUUGUGUAGCAAUAACAAGGUUAAAUGAGUACUCUCAGGGUGGCAGUCUGGCAAGUAUAGUUUUUUUUAUUUCAUUACCAACAGUGUCCUUACAUCUUUAUGCCGAAACAAUGUAUAAUUUCUAUAUCAUAAUAUAUAUAUAUUUAUUUAUUU